AAUCCAGUGCCAACUCAAGGUCCUUGGAAAAGCUGGGAAGUGUCGCUGGCUCCAAACAAGUGUUGAAGGAAGAAAAAUAUAAAGGUGCAGGGCUGCAGUGGGGCCACAGAGACUGAUUGAGAAUCAUUCGCCAGGAAUCUAGACUGAUUUGGUGGAACUUCCUUAAUGAUGAUGCAACACAGCGUCCGUGGUUCUUGCUCCGUCCUUCAGAACAUAUAGGAGAGAUACGUGGGAAUGUCUGGCAAUGGAUUUUGUCCUUCUCUCCAUUGGCUUUCAGAGGCGUGUGGCAUUCAGACUCACCUGGGUUGAUGGUAUCACGCUGUGCGACACGAGCAUGAGAGGAUGCUGAAAGGAUGAGACAGCUUGGCAAGGACACCAGGACUGAGCAGCCUCCUUUACUCACCGAAAAAGACAAGUCAGCCUCGAAGACUCAUUUACAUGGUCCCUCGCUGUCCUGCCUUAGGUGAAGGCCUUUAAAACAAGUACAGGUAAAAUGGAUCCUUUUGGGUCUGCUCUUAUGCUCUGUUCAUUUUUGACACACCUGUUAAAUAGUGCCGGGAACCGUGCGAGUUCUUGCUCCUUGGGAGGGUCAAGCCAGGGUCCAGAUGUGGCCGCAGCGAGGACCGUGCAGUGCUUGUCCCUGGAUCCCCAGGCCAAAGUGGUAUUAGAAGGAGCUCUUCCAAGCUCGCCAGACCUGGCUACACGGCCCCCUCCAUCUCCCCAGGGUACUGAGGACCCGAAAGACACAGAUCAGGGAUUCUUCUCAGAUCCCAGCAACUGUAGAAGACAUCUGAUAUUUCUGUCCCCACUAAGAUACAGAGACGCGACUUUGAAAAGGCGUCCUUUCUGCAUUUCCUAAGAUGGCCCUUAACUAAGCAAAAAGCGGGGAGGGCAUCAUACAGUGCGGUGCUCUGUGCCCCGCUGUUGUUAUUAUGCUCCAUCUGAUUUCCUACAGUCGUACCUUUCCUGACAGAGGGUGGGUCUUCCCACCUGUGGCUCUGUUUCAGGGCUGACACAUGUUAACACAAGAACGUCACAGGUUGUCACCAUUGAGUUUAAGAUAGUGGUUGGACACGCUGAAGUCAAGUUGUCUACACUCAACUGUGCUGUCCUAUCUGUGUCAGGAAAAGGGGUAUUCAGAAAAGUGGAUAGGAAUCUUUCUAAGAAUAUGACCCUUAUACCUGGGCCCUAGGAAUACAGCUUCGUUAGAAGCCAAACCUAAGCAAUAAGCAACAAGAAAAAGGCAGUCAGCUUGGUGAACAGCCAGGCUGUUGCCCAUUGGGGAAUUAACCUGCCUUUGCUUCUGCUGAAAAGGAUCACGUUUCAGUCCAAAAGGAGCAGGACAGGUCUGCAAAACUAACCUCCCAUUUAACUCUUUUUUUGAUCUUAAUGCUUAAUGCAGGCCAACAUCUGCUCACACAUUAACUGUGGAACACUCCAGAUCAAAGCGUCUCUAAUUAUCAGUGAUUUCUUCAGGACUUGAAUUUCGCCGGCUCAUCUUGCAGGAUAAAAAGUCCCCUUCGGUCUGAGUCCUGAAUCAAUCUGCUAGGUAUUCAAAAACGGCAGCUUAAAGGGCAAUGUUUCUAUUAUACACACACUUAUUUGUUUUCCGUUUCACUUAAAUAGAAUGUAAUAACACCUGUUUCUUCACUUGCAUACACUGAAAGGUUUCAACUGAAAUACGAUGUUAGGGGUGGUUUACCAAGGUUUACCUGAAAACCUUUCAUCUAAGUAUGUCAAAGCAGCUGCCAAAAUGGGGAAGCAUUACAUCAAGAAAGAAAGCCUAAAACGGAAGCUUAUGUUCGCGUUAAGAACAUAACACCCUGUGCAUCACAUGGGUUCCAACCCCAAAUACAACUGCAUCUUGGGGAACCAUGUCUUUUUCAUGUUUGUCCCCUGGAUGCUGGCACGGUGCCUGCCUAGCCGAGGGCAGAUGCCCAAUAAAGGCGGGUGGAGAGGCUUGUGAGUAAACAUUGCAGAGGUCCCGCAAGUGCGAGCCAGCUCGUGCCUUGAAAUGCAUGGGACAACCUUGACUGCUGGUGCGUUGUGGCUGAGUCAUUUCUAUAUCUUAAUUUUCUCAGUCUCUCCCUUGAAAUAACAAGGGCAGUGAAUACCACUAAAUUAAUGAAGAGCAUGAUAUAAAACAAGGAAAAUAAUGUAAGUGACUAAGCUUUUUUUUUUUUUUUUCUUCCUUUUUAAAGGCUGUGCCUGUGAUAUACGGAAGUUCCUGGGCUAGGGGUCGAACUGGAGCUGCAGCUGAGGCCCACCGCAGCCACACUGGAUCCGAACCGCAUCUGCCAUUUACGCUGCAGGUGGUGGCAAUGCAGGAUCCUUAACCCACUGAGCCACAGCAGGAACUCCCAUGCCUAAGUCUUCAACAUACAGAUUCAUGUAGUGAGUGUUAAGAGAAGUCUAGGACAUUCUUUAGCCUCUGCUCACACUCCUCCCGUGACGGCCCCUCCUCACAAGGCAGCUGCUUGCAGCUCUGAUCCCUAUAAAGAUCCUGCUCAUUUUGAACAGAAUUUUCCCUUCUGUAAAUUCAACCUCUUGGUCCUUUCUCAAAGCCUUUAAUUCCAGGAGGCUUCUUCAAGCCUUUGAAAACCAUGGCGACAUCGUCCUCCUCCUCCCUGCCCCAGACUGAAUGUCCUUAUUUAGGUAAAGGUCCCGGAUGCCUCAAGACAGGCUUCGCAGACUCUGCUCCUUACUUUGGGCACGCUGCAGUCCGCUUGCGCCAUUUUUCUAACAUGAAAUACGAAAACCUAAAAAAUUCUUUGGGACUUCCCCCCCCCAAUAUUCACUGUCUUGGCCACACUUCACUCAUGUUAAACUUGAAAUUGACACCUCAAAGACGUAUUCGUCUCAACUUCUAUUAGACAACACAUUGGCCUAUCUUGUAUUGGUGUGGUUCAUUACUGCUUGUUUCUGAGUUUAGAAUUUUUUAUUUAUACAUUCAUUUUUAAAUUUCCUUUUAUUUUUUUUUGGGGGGGGGGACUAAUUUUUGAAGCUACCAUUACAGACUCUUGAGACUUAGGGAAUCUCGAGUCUGUUAUUCACUUGACAUAUGUCCUAUUAGCUCGUCCUCCUCUAAACCAACAGUGAAAUAAACAUUACGUGGUCCAGGGGCUUCUACCUGCGACACAGCUGGAGCACCUCUGAGGCUUGAUGCAGGAGGAAUUCAUUUACACACUGUAAGUGCUUCAGAGCUGCGAUUAUCUCUGAGCGGUUUGGUGCCCAGAACUGACUAAAUCCCUCGGGGCUUUUGUUUCCUUUAAGUCAAGCAGGAGCCAGUUUCAAACUGUGUGGGAACCUUUGCCUGCCAGGCACAGUAUUUUGUUGCAGCUCGAGGUCCUGUUUUUGAAUGAAACCUUUAGAGACAUCUUUCUUUCCUCCCUUAGUGUAGAUCUGAUUUUGUGCCCCUCCCAGCCUCUGCUUUGCCCUCCCCCUAAAAGACUUUAUUCUCUUCUUAAGAGAUCAUGUUAAUCCAUCAAGAAAAAACACACUGGAGGGAAAGAAGCCAGAACCACCGGUGUAGAGAGACAGACCCAAGCCUAGAGGGAGAUUGUGCUUCACGUCUGGAAAUUCCCCAUUUCUCCCUUGCUUCUCUACUGCGGGGAUUAUUUUAACAUAAAGCAGGGCUGACAAUUUGGAGUGUGUGAGGAGAAGUCCUUAGCAAAAUCCAGCUCCCAGCAAAAUCAUGGUUUAACGAAACCUGGGAGGUGUAGUCCUGUUUCAAGUCAAAUGGGUAUUAUUUUAACAAACUUACUCAAGUCCUAAAGAUUUAGAGCAUGGUUUAUGGUUGGGUCUCACACUCAGAGAUUCGCUACCCACAGGCUCAGAAUUGCAACCAGGGGCAUUAAUCUCAUUCGGCUCAGACAAGGUCAUAUGUGUGUGGCUGAGGUCACUGAGGAGGCUCGGAGUGUUGCCAUCCCUUGCUCUGUGACAGGGGCUAAGUCAAAGUGGGCCCGUUUCAUCUUUGCUCGACUGACGUGGUGUUGAAUUAAAUUAUCCUGAAAUCCUUUCUUUCCUUUUCUUUUUUUUUCUUUUAGGACCGCACCCAUGGCAUAUGGAAAUCCCCAGGCUAGGGGCCAAAUCCGAGCUGCAGAUGCUGGCAUACUCCACAGUCACAGCCACCCUGGAUCCGAGCUGCAUCUGCAACCUCCGUGACAGCUCACGGCAACGCCAGAUACUUAACCCACUGAGCAAGGCCAGGGAUUGAAUCGAAUCUUCAUGGGUAUGAGUCAGGUUCGUUAUGGCUGAGCCGUGAUGGGAACUCCUCUUUUUUCUUUUCAAGAUCAUCAUUCUUUAAAAAAAUUUUUUUUUACUCUUUUAAAGUUUAUUAAGCUUGUAAUUAUAAAAUAAUAUAUAUUCGCUGGAGAAAAGUUAAAGAAAAUGAAGAAAAAGAACUCUUUGUAAUAUCACUGCCCAGACACACCUGCUAUUCAUAUUUUGGUUUAUUCUCCUAAUUCUACUUUCCACCCCUAUGUAUUUCUACAAAGCAUUUAAGUACCAGACACACUUAUGAUGCGUCUCACCUGGGACUCCUUCACCGCAAGUGUAAAGCGAAUGGAUCUCUCUGGCCACCAGACUCGAGGGUGGCCCGUUCUUAGACUGACUCAGACCUGCGAGGUGUGGUCUGGCUCAGAAAGACAAGCUAAGCCAAUCCAUUUAGGAAUUUGGAACUGGGAGACUGAGAGGUGAAGCCGGUGAGUAAUAAAACUGAGAUGAACACACGUGAGAUAGACUAGAAGCGAACAAACACAUUUUGAACUGUGCGCAAGCUGCAUUUAUGAGACGGCAGUAACUAUGUUUAAGGAGAAGAGGCUGGCUCAGUGGAGAGACGACUCGGUAGAGAGAGAAACAAAAAGACGUGCCAAGGAAAUCCAGUAGCCUCAGAAAGAAGCCUUAUGCUUAGCGGAUUUCCAGAGAUCUAUCAAUUUCUUGAAAACUGAUUUUCAAGCAACCUAUCUGUCCUUGAGUCCUCGGCUUUGACUCUCAUGAGACUCUUCUAAAACAUACUCAAGGCCCCUUCUAUCUGGGCUGGGUCAAUGCUACAGACAACCAGAAGAAAUCUGACCUGAACAAUGUAAAUUCGAGCUGACAUUUUUAUUGACUAUUUAAAAUAGUUCCCCAAGUCAUUAUACGUGCUUUAAAUACACUGUUCUUUUUUUUUUCUUUUUCUUAGGGCUGCAUCUGUGGCAUAUGGAGGUUCCCAGGCUAGGGGUCGAGUCAGAGCUCCAGCUGCCGGCCUAUGCCACAGCCAUAGCAACAUCAGAUCCAAGCUGCACCUGCAACCUACACCACAGCUUGUGGCAAUGCCAACUCCUUAACUCACCAAGUGAGGCCAGGGAUUGGACCUGCAUCCUCAUGGAUACUAGUCAGGCUCUUAAUCCACUGAGCCACAAUGGGAACUCCUAAAUACCCUGUUUUUAAUGGCUAAGUAAUAUUUCAGAGCAUGAAUCCACUGCAUAAGAAACCUAGGGGUUACCAUCAUGGCUCCGAUUGGAUCCCUAGCCUGGGAACCACCACAUGCCACAGGUAUAGCCCUAAAAANAAAAAAAAAAAAAAAAAAAAAAAA
rnacentral:lncRNA from 1 species